GAAGGCACUUUGUGUUAGAGCUGGUUCAUGCAGGAAUGGAGAAGCAACUUCCUUGCUCUAGGGAAGAUUUUUGGUCCUAGGCAGCCCUUUGUGAGGAAUGUAGGUCAAGAGGAUUCAGAAUUCCUACAGGUUGGAUUCAGCUCUUGGCUGGGCUUCACACUGUGACCUUGUGCAUGUUCUGUAAUCUUUCUCAGUUUCUGUUUACUCGUCUGUAAAAUAAAGAUAAUUCUUACCUCACAAAUACAGAGUAUCUAAAAGCACCAAGUGAUGGUACUUGCAUGUUCCUUUUUCCUUUUUGAAUUUCUAACUUUCCCUUGUAUCACUACACUAUUUUAAAUUAUUGUCAACUUUCAACUCAGAUUUAUUUUUUCCAAUAUUUUAUCCUGAAAAAUUUCGAAUGUAUAGAUAAGUUUAGAAAAUUGUACUGUGAAGACCCAUUUAUCUACACCUAGAUUCUACAAUUAAAUUUCAUUCUACUUGCUCUUUCACGCAUCUGUUCAUAUAUCCAUCCCUCUAUCUACAUAAUAGUUCCUCUUAUUUUAAUGCAUUUCAAGGUACGUUGCACACGUCACCAUAAUUUACUCCUAGACGUAUGCAUGCCAUUAACCUAGUGGUUAAUACUUUGAAUGGAUCCUUUUCUCUUUUGAGGUAAAAUUUACAUAGAAUGGAAUGUACUUACCUUAACUGUAUCAUUCGGUGAGUUUGACAAAUGUAUACAUUGGUAUAAUAUAAAUAUACCUCUGUAUAUGAUAUAUGUCUGAUAUAUAUAAGUAUAUGUGAUACAUAUCAUAUGUAAUAUAAAUACAUAAAUACAUUGUCAUAAUACCUACCAAGGUAUAGAACAGUGCCUACGAAAGUACUCUCAUGCCUCUUUCUAGUAGAUUCCUGUCCUCCUCCUUCCUUCUCCCCCAUUGUUCAGAUGUAUUAUUCUAACAAUAAAUAUCAGCUGGCUGUUUCUCAUCUAGUAUGCCUAAUUUUGUGUGGCUUUAAAAAUUAGAAGUUCAUCUAUGUUAUGGGUUAGCUAGCUUAAUGUUAAAAAGUACUGAGGCUAAAACAAGAGUCUCUGAACGCUUUUGUUUGUGUACCCUGUUGGUAAAAUAAUUUGAGCAUACAUCACUAAUAUAUGUAAAUUUUCUUUAUAUAUACAUGUACUUUGUGUUACUACUAUAUGCAGCAUAAACUAAACACAAAACUAAAAGCGAUGACAUGAUGAAAACAAUAUGUUUUAAAAUUUUCAUUGCACAAUAUCAUUAACAGUAAUAAUACUUAUUAUUACUUAUAGGUUAAGUUCAUAUUUUUUAAAGUCUUAAUUUUUGGAAUAUUUUCUGCCUGCUUCUUGUGAGAUUUGACUAGAUGGAUGGUCAUUGUUCUUAACUUCCGAAGAGAUUUUCUAGAACGGAAGUGUCAGCUUAGACAUUUACCUUGUUGUUUGCUUGCAUCUACAUUACUAAUAUUAUUUUUGUGUAGGAAUCUUCCUUUUUUUAGCCACCUGUUCAUUUGGUGAGAGCUAGUUUAGUUAGAAGUAGAUAUUCCAUAAUCCUGCUCAACCGGGCACACACCAAAUGGCAGUAAAUCACAGUAUACCCAACGUGAAUAAACAUAACCAUCUGAAUAAGAAUACUAUUAAUAGUGUCAACUUGCAUAUAAAAUAUUAGUAAAAUUUACUUUUUAGCUAAAAGAGUAAGAAACUGAAAUCGAAAUUCUGUUUUCUUCCCGUACCCUACCCAAACCUUCCCCUGAGAUGUGAGCACUCUGCUUAUGUUACCCCCUACUCUAAAAGGUCAGAAAACAAUAUAAACAAAAAGCCUCAAAAUUCUUGUGCUUUAACUAAAGCACUUUUUUACAUUUAAAAACUUUAUAUGAGAAUUAUCAAAUAUUGCUAGUAGUGUAUUGAUACAGUUACUUUAGAAAACUGACUUAAUCUACAUAUGCUUACCUUGUGACCUAGCAGUCUCUUCUAGGCAUAUACCCAAGAGAAAUGAGUGUUUAUAUUCACCAAAAUACUGUACAAGAAUGCUCAUACAUAACAACUUUCUUCAUGAUAGAACAGGAAACAACCCAACUGUCCAUCAACAGGAGAAUGAGUAAACAAAUUUGUAGUAUAUUCACAUAGUGGAGUACUAUUUGACAAUAAAAAGUAAUAAAUCACUGAUACAGUGGUCACUGGUUUGUAGUGGGUAGAAAGGAGUGAUUGAAUAGGAGAAGGCACUGGAAAUGUUCCUUUUCUUGAUCUGGAUGGUGUUACAUGGAUGUGUACGUAUGUAAAAAUGUAUCAAGCUGUACAUUUAAGAUUUGUGCACUAUACUGUAUGAAAGUUAUACCUCAAUUUAAAAAACACAUUUUAUAUGAGUUAGGGAGAAAGGAGAACUAAUACUUCUACAUGGAUUAAAUUUCACUAUUUUUAGCUUUCAGUGAGUUUUUUUUUUUUCCUUCGAGUCCUCACUCCUACCAAGCUGCAUCUUCCUAUUCCCUUUUGACUUAUUAUAGAAACUUCAUUUUCUACUUCAGAGCGUUCUCUUUAGACUUUCUUUGAGUUCUGGUUUCAGCCUGUCUGGUUUGUUUACCUGCAUCAGUGUCUUUCUCUUCCUUUAAUAUUAAAUCACUGCUUAUCAUGUUUUUGAUGUAGCUUUCUUCAACCUCUCACUCUGUAAAACAUAAGAAUAAAGCAUUUGACCUUCCUAUUUAUAUAGCUUCAAGAGCUGAACUCUUACUGAACUUUUGUUGAGCACCUACUGUAUGUAAGGCACAGGGGUAUAGUUUUUUCAUAUCUCUAGCAAUAGAUUAAAUUUGCAGCAAUUCUAAAACAUGAUUAUGAAGUGUUUCCAUACCCUUUAUUAAUAUAAAUAUUUGUUGGGAAUCUUCCUUUUCUGAUCCAUAGCACUUUCAGGUUUUCUGCAUUUGACAAUGAUCUACUAGAACGUGAUAAAUUUAUUUCUGGAGACCAGGCCACAUUAUUUUCAGAGAAUCAUUUGGGACUUAAGUUCUUUUUAAUCUCAACAUAAAGUAAGGUGUUUAUAAUCUUCAUUACUUUGGCCUUAGAAGUACAUCAGUGGUUCAGUCCUGGCGCGAGCUCACUCAGUCUUUUUCCCAGGGACUGCUUUCACUUUGCCAAGGAUUUGGCAAAUUGUCUCAUUUUCUCCCACUUAAUCUGGGAGCUAAUAGGAACUUUAAACUUUUGAUAACAAAUAUGUUCAUUUUCCAAUGCUCCCGUCUCAACCAGAUGAGUCUCUAUUCCUGGCACAUCCCCUUUGGAAUUCUGUAAUGACUACUGUUCCUCCAUGAUUUGGAAAAUAAUAUUAAUUCUCUGAAGUCAGAUUUCUACUGUUAGAGAUUGUAUUUGAUUCUUUUGGGAAAUGACUGAUGGUUUAAAAUUAUGUACAACUUCAUUGAAAAGCCUGUUCGCAUUAGAAAAGCAUUAUAGGCUUGUAAGUAUAAUAAAUAUAGUAGGAGACUAGCCCAAAUAUAUUUAUUUAUUGGAGAAAGUUUUCUAUUUCAAAAGUCUCAGAUAUUAGAUCAGAAUCCAACCCACUUGAUGUAGUUAUUCAUCCACUACAAAAAGAUGUUCUAAUCACUUGCAGUGCUACUGAAAGCAUGUCCUGUGAAUGUUACUUGUCAGUGACAAAGUAGGUACAGAAAUUGAAAUAAGAGUUUAGAAAUUUUUAGAGCCGUUUGAUGGAGUAGCUUUGUGAAUCUAACAAUUGAGGUUUACAUUUUGUAUGUCUUUUUAUUUUUCUCAUAAUUUAUUUUUAUUUUAUAAACAUGUCUGUUUGCAACUCAUUAGAACUUUAAAAAAAAAAACUAGUUAUUCACUAUAGGUAGAGUAGAAUUACUGACUAUCAAGGAUCUUUAAAGGUCAAUAGUGGUCCUAAUACGUAAAAUAAUUUGCUCAUAUGGUGUAUAUAAACUAUUGGCAACUAUGUAAAAGGGGGAAUGGGUUGACCUUCAUGUUACAAAUAUUAAUUUCUCCUGCAUAAAAAUAACCUCAUUAAAAUAGAGGAUAGAGACUGUAAAUUAUUUUUUUCUGUCUUCUUUUUACCUAGAUAAGAAUUUACCACAAUUAGUCUGGUAAAUAACCACCUGUAUGGUCACAGAGAGCCACACAGAAGUGAAAAAAAAAAAAAGAAUAAUCUAAUGAUUGGUGAGCACAAGCCUUCAGAAUGACAUCCUCCAGAUUUCUGAGGAAGUCCUGCAAUGAAGAGAAAGAGAAUCAGACCAGGGGUUAAAAGACAAUUACAGAGCAAGUAAGUGGAAGGGAGCUGCACUAAAAUUCAUUGCCGUCUGCACCCACCUCCAUAGGAUACCAGGAGGAAGUGAAAGAAGUCCCUGGCAAUCAUCACUCCACCUUCUGUCUCUAUGAAUGGAUUACUCUGGGUACCUCAUAUAAAUGGAAUUAUACG